UACGUAGGUGGCAAGCGUUACUCGGAAUCACUAGGCGUAAAGCGCAGGUAGGAGGUUUGGUAAGUCUAUUGUGAAAGCUCCCGGCUUAACUGGGAGAGGUCAAUGGAAACUACCAGGCUGGAGUGCGGUAGAGGUAGCUGGAAUUCCCGGUGUAGCGGUGAAAUGCGUAGAUAUCGGGAGGAAUACCUAUGGCGAAAGCAGGCUACUGGACCGUCACUGACUCUGAUCUGCGAAAGCUAGGGGAGCAAACAGG
rnacentral:rRNA from 1 species